rnacentral:snRNA from 1 species
AUCGCUUCUCGGCCUUUUGGCUAAGAUCAAGUGUAGUAUCUGUCUUAUCAGUUUAAUAUCUGAUACGUCCCCUAUCUGGGGACCAUAUAUUAAAUGGAUUUUUGGAACAGGGGAUGGAAGAAAGCUUGCCUGUCCACUCCACGCAUCGACCUGGUAAUGCAGUACCUCCAGGACCGGUGCACUCUCU